AUGAAGGCCUUCGGGUUGUAAACUGCUUUUUGUACGGAACGAAAAGUCUUGGGUUAAUACCCUGGGAUCAUGACGGUACCCGUAGAAUAAGCACCGGCUAAAUAUCGUGCCAGCAGCCGCGGUAAUAAGUAGGGUGCAAGCGUUAAUCGGAAUACUGGGCGUAAAGCGUGCGUCAGGCGGUUAUUGUAAGACAGUGGUGAAAUCCCCGGGCUCAACCUGGGAACUGC
rnacentral:rRNA from 1 species